CUGAUUCACAAUGUGUUCAUUCGACCAGAUGUUGACGCCAUUCUGAAUAUCCCCUUACGCCGCGGUGGGGGUGAUGACUUUCUAGCUUGGGCUUUUGAAAGAAGCGGCAUCUACUCCGUAAAAUCUGCGUACCGUGCUCUCGUGACUAAGAAAGAGCGUGCAGCUCAAGAGGAAGGAACGGUUACAAACUCCUCACGGACUGAUGAACGUAUGUGGAAGUCACUUUGGAAACUCAAGGUCUUGCCGAAGGUACGUGUAUUUUGGUGGCGGGUUAUUCGUCGCAUUCUUCCAGACGAGUGCGCUCUUCGGUAUUGCCAUAUUAAACCUAUAAGUAGAUGCAAUGUCUGCCAUGCAAUGGAUGAGGAUCUUAUGCACGCCUUAGUGCAUUGCUCUCAUGCCAAACUUUUCUAG
rnacentral:rRNA from 1 species